GGUCAAAAGCAGCCUUCAGCGACUGACCCAGUACUAAUGGAGGCCCCUCCAAGGAACCAUGGACUCCCAGGCCUCCAGCUAGACUGAACUCCAGUUCUGGAAUUUGCAGCCCAAGGGCCCAGCCUGGGAAGAGGCCUUUGGCAGGUGGGAGGAGUGCUGCUUGGGAGAGGAGGUAAUCGGGCAGGCAGACGAGCAGAGAAGACUGGAAUGGGCCAUCUCAUCCAGUGAUCCUGGCCUUAUAUGGAGAUUCCCACGGCAAAGCACUCCCAGCCCUCAGCUGUUUUCCACCCCAGCAGACUGUGCUUGGCCAGGGAAGACAGAUCCGCCUGCUCAGCCCGGUUUAACUACUUUUCUACCAAAGGCAGACCAGGAUGCAUUAUUGAAAUGAUGUAGCCAGAAAGUCCCUUCCAUUUAAGAGAAGAGACUGGACUGGAACUGUGACUUGAGUGGUAGGAGCUCAAUCACUGAAAGCAGAUUAAUGGACUGCAUCUCUCAACGCAGGCAGUGUGGCCCAGGGGACAACCAGACAGAACUCUGUGAAGCAUACUACUAUCAGGAAGAUCUGAAUUCAAAUGCUGCCUCCAAAACAUAUUAGCUUGGUAACUAAGCUAUUUAACAUCUCAAUAGCCCUAAAAAACUUUCUAAAAUGAAAAACUGUAUAGAUGGGUCUUAUUUGUAUUGGUAAAAAGAAUUUCUUCACUGGGAGCGCCCCAAAACAGAUGAAAUCAAAGAUCUAGUCCAAAUUAUUUAUCCUAUAAAAUUUACAAUAUAAAGAUCUGUGAUUUCUUCUAUAUGUGCUACUAAUGUGGUAAUUCUCUCCAGUAAAAAGGAUCACAGCUCAUCCAGAAAGUAUAGACUUAGAGAGUUGUUUCAAAGAAAUAAAUAGCUAACUUUAAAAAAAAACAAAAAACCUGAUCUU